rnacentral:snoRNA from 1 species
GGGUCAAUCAUGUGUACUUUAUAUUGCCUUGAGGAGCGGUAAUAACUUAAGUAUCAUGUACAAUGGCAUGACACUGAGUCCC